rnacentral:lncRNA from 1 species
CAAGAAUUUCUUUCAAAGUCGAGAAUUUCAAGACAGCAGGUCAGGUGUGGUAGCUCAAGCACCAGCAAGGUGGAGGCAGGAGGAGCGUAAACUUAACGUCAUCCUUAGCUACACCGUGAGCUUGAGGCUACUCUUGGAGUAUUAGACCCCACUUGGGGGAAAAAUGUAUUUCAAGAAGGUGGCAGCAGAUUGUUAAAUUGAGGUCCUGCCUAUAGGUGUGUGCUUAGGGGCUGGCCCCACAUGGGAAAUUCCUUUCUUGUCAGAGUCUCAAGUUCUUUCCACUGGAGGGCUCCUGAGGUGGGAGGAAGAGUGGUGCCAUGUUGUAUUCUUCUGAAAAGAUCCUAAUCCCUCAGGGUGGAAGUGGAGUUGGGAGUGUUGAGGAACGCGGUUGGUAAGAGGAAAGAGAGGCCAGUUUAUAUCCACUUUCUGGAAACUCUAGGGGAGCAGGCCACCACUGGCUUAUUCCAGCUUCUGGAAGUAUUUGCAGACCCACGACACCAAGGGAUCAGAGAAGAUAGAUGCCAGAGGGACAGGGAAACAUGUCUUCAGCUCACCACCAUGACCCGAGGUCUUCUAGAGGAGGAACUUAAAUCUCUGUAUUUUAUCCGAGGUAGUAUUCUGAACAAGGAGACAUAAGGUCCGAUGACGAUGGUCACUCUUGGUUACAGACUUUACUGCAUCCAGAAUCAACUAAAACCCAACUGCUGGACAUUCCUGUGUCUUGAUAUUUGAAGUAUGUGCCUGAGCGAGCAAGUGUCCUUGGAGGCCAGAGGCUUCGGAUCCCUGGAGUUGAAGUUAUACCUAAAUGUGAACACUUGGCACAGAUGCUGGGAGUCCAUCUCAGCUCCCUGCAGGAAGAGUGUGUGCUCUUGACAAGUGAGCCUCCCCAGCCUUUGUCUGGAUGUCUGAUAAAGCUGGAGUUAUGGAAUUUCUGAUAGUGAUCUUGUUCUUAUGUGACAUCACUGUGACUUAGUGCUGGUGGGCUGACGCUGACUAACUGUAAUCACUUGAUGAAGUGGUAUCUGCCAAGUUUUUCCACCACAGACUUAGUAUUUUCUGCUUUUCAUGUUCUAAACGUUAUCAUUAAACGCAGCCGGAGAGAAGGCUUCAGGGGAACUAUGGAAAUUUUGUGAACUUGUGUUGAAACCACCGCAAUAAUGAAGAAAUAUUUAGGGAAGAGCCUGUGUGAUUCUGUGACCUUGCUUUUUGGUGUCACUCACUUGUCUUAGCAUCCGUCAGAAGGCUUAGUGACAGCACUGUUCUGCAUGCUUAAUGGCAAUUUGUCUACUCUCGUCAUCCUUUCUGCACACAGUAUUUGGGAUUCACCUAUAGUUCAGCACAUCCUUUCUUCAUGGUGGAUUUACUUAUUCACCCUUGGAAUGAAUUUAUGGAAAUGUAUUUUGUGAACAAUUAUUCUGAGACUACUAAUCAAUAACUUUAUUUUUCAUUGCCCAUUGGCAUAAUGUUAUUGUGUACUAUAUAAAGUUUAUCCUUGUAUGACUCAAAUGAUAUCUAUGUCCCCAUAUCUGGUUGUGAUCAGAACGUGCAUUGUAAUGCUUAUUCUAAGAAUCUCCUAUCUCAAUGUUGUUUAAACAUUGCUCCCCAGUUAUCUCUGAUUGGUCAACAGAAAGCUGAUCAGCCAAUGAUGGGGCAGAGGAAAGGAUAGGGUUGGACUUCCAAUCCCAGUCUGUAGAGGAGAGGGAAGAAGAGAGGACCCUCCCUGGAAGAAGGACCCAGGAGUCACCAUGAGAACAUUCUGGAGAAUGUUCCAGAGAGAUCCAGAACAAUACUAAAAUGCAAAUAUCUCGGGGAUUUUGGCUGGGGCAAAGCCAGAUUAACUUAGAGGAUUGGAAUAGAUAAAUAUCUGCCCGGUUAUUCUGCCUUAAAGCUUGUUGAAAAAAAAUCUAAUAGUCUCUGUCUC